UAAAAAAACAAGUGAAAAAUUAACAAAAAUUAUAGCAGAACAUGACUAUCAACCGAAUCAAUUUGCUCAAAGUUUAAGAGCGAGACAAACACACCUUAUUGGUGCCAUUAUACCUAGAAUGAAUUCAUAUGCAGUAGACGAAACAAUCAAAGGAUUGGCAAAACAAUGCCAAAAAUAUGAAUCACAAUUAAUUUUAAAUUAUACAGGUUUAAAUAUCGAAGCAGAAAUACAAGCGCUUGAAACAUUAGCACGCAGUAAAGUAGAUGGUAUUGUUUUAAUGGCUACAGAUAUAACAGAGAGACAUAUUGAAGUCA
rnacentral:sRNA from 1 species